rnacentral:rRNA from 1 species
UACGUAGGGGGCAAGCGUUGUCCGGAAUUACUGGGCGUAAAGAGCUCGUAGGCGGCUUGGUAAGUCAGGUGUGAAAUCUCCACGCUCAACGUGGAGGGGCCACCCGAAACUGCCAUGGCUUGAGUCCGGUAGGGGAGUGUGGAAUUCCCGGUGUAGCGGUGAAAUGCGCAGAUAUCGGGAGGAACACCCGUAGCGAAGGCGGCACUCUGGGCCGGUACUGACGCUGAGGAGCGAAAGCGUGGGGAGCAAACAGG